GACGAACGCUGGCGGCGUGCUUAACACAUGCCAGUCGAACGGAAAGGCCCUGCUUUUGUGGGGUGCUCGAGUGGCGAACGGGUGAGUAACACGUGAGUAACCUGCCCUUGACUUUGGGAUAACUUCAGGAAACUGGGGCUAAUACCGGAUAGGAGCUCCUGCUGCAUGGUGGGGGUUGGAAAGUUUCGGCGGUUGGGGAUGGACUCGCGGCUUAUCAGCUUGUUGGUGGGGUAGUGGCUUACCAAGGCUUUGACGGGUAGCCGGCCUGAGAGGGUGACCGGCCACAUUGGGACUGAGAUACGGCCCAGACUCCUACGGGAGGCAGCAGUGGGAAAUAUUGCACAAUGGGCGGAAGCCUGAUGCAGCAACGCCGCGUGCGGGAUGACGGCCUUCGGGUUGUAAACCGCUUUCGCCUGUGACGAAGCGUGAGUGACGGUAAUGGGUAAAGAAGCACCGGCUAACUACGUG
rnacentral:rRNA from 1 species